GACGAACGUUGGCGGCGUGCUUAAUACAUGCAAGUCAACUGAAGCAGUGGUAGCAAUAUCGCUGUGGAGGUGGCGCACGGGUGAGUAACACGUAGGUAAUCUGCCUUCAGGUCUGGCAUAACUCCGGGAAACCGGGGCUAAUAGCAGAUGAUGCGGCGGCUCGACAUCGAGACAGUUGUUAAAGCUAUGGCGCCUGAAGAUGAGCCUGCGUCUGAUUAGCUAGUUGGCGGGGUAACGGCCCACCAAGGCAACGAUCAGUAGCUGGUCUGAGAGGAUGAUCAGCCACACUGGAACUGAGACACGGUCCAGACUCCUACGGGAGGCAGCAGUAAGGAAUAUUGCUCAAUGGGAGAAAUCCUGAAGCAGCAACGCCGCGUGAGGGACGAAGGGCUUUUGCUUGUAAACCUCUGUAGUGAGAGAAAAAAAUCCCAAUCUUUGGGACAUGAUGGUAUCUCAAAAGUAAGCCCCGGCUAACUACGUG
rnacentral:rRNA from 1 species